rnacentral:rRNA from 1 species
UACGUAGGGUGCGAGCGUUAAUCGGAAUUACUGGGCGUAAAGCGUGCGCAGGCGGUUUUGUAAGACAGAUGUGAAAUCCCCGGGCUCAACCUGGGAACUGCGUUUGUGACUGCAAGACUUGAGUGCGGCAGAGGGGGGUAGAAUUCCACGUGUAGCAGUGAAAUGCGUAGAGAUGUGGAGGAAUACCGAUGGCGAAGGCAGCCCCCUGGGCCAAUACUGACGCUCAUGCACGAAAGCGUGGGGAGCAAACAGG